rnacentral:lncRNA from 1 species
GGCCCGAUUUUUUUGCAUAGACCAAUAAGUGACACCUCAUAGAAGACCCCUGGCGCGCCGGGCGACUAGUUUACUGGCCUUUGACCGACGUUUGAAAUUCACCAAGCAAUUCUGCAGCCUUUCCCUUUUUGGAGCGCCCGGCGCGCCAGGAGCCCUCCAUGUAAUCAUAUAGACUAGAUGGAGCCAUUACCUGGUCGCGGGCGGGAUUUAACACUCUGCUUGGCGCUACUGCUGCCGGUGAGACGCCGGCCUCGUGCUAAGUUGCCGGGAUAAUGGAAAUGUCCUACUGGGGCCUGCAUAAGUAGGAUUGGCUGCAUCUCAUAACAAUAUGUGGUGUCAACGCGACAAAUAAAAUGCGCAUUAGGGUUAGGACACACACGGAAGCUUGCACAACCCCCGAAUAGGCAUCACUCGGGGAAUGGCCGGGGCUUCAGGAACCCGACUUUCGCUUCAGGGCUGCUUCAGGGCUGCUUCAGGUGUAGUGAACCGUCACCUUCAGGCUUCAGGUUUGGCACUGGCAACAGGCCGGAAGCAUGACAUUUGCACAGCCUACUGCAGCUGCCUGUUGCAUUGUGUCUUUCCAUUUCGUGCUGUGACAGGUGUUGUCAAGAAACAAGAGAAUGUGCGCGACAUUCACCGUACAUCAACCGCUA